rnacentral:rRNA from 1 species
AGAGUUUGAUCCUGGCUCAGGAUGAACGCUAGCGGCAGGCUUAAUACAUGCAAGUCGUGGGGCAGCAUGAGUGUAGCAAUACAUUUGAUGGCGACCGGCAAACGGGUGCGGAACACGUACUGAACCUUCCUUUAAGUGGGGAAUAGCCCAGAGAAAUUUGGAUUAAUACCCCGUAAUAUAUAGAAGUGGCAUCACUUUUAUAUUAAAGCUCCGGCGCUUAAAGAUGGCAGUGCGGCUGAUUAGGUAGUUGGCGGGGUAACGGCCCACCAAGCCGACGAUCAGUAACUGGUGUGAGAGCACGACCAGUCACACGGGCACUGAGACACGGGCCCGACUCCUACGGGAGGCAGCAGUAAGGAAUAUUGGUCAAUGGACGCAAGUCUGAACCAGCCAUGCCGCGUGGAGGAUGAAGGUCCUCUGGAUUGUAAACUUCUUUUAUCUGGGAAGAAACCCAUGAAUUCUUUUGUGGUUGACGGUACCAGAUGAAUAAGCACCGGCUAACUCCGUGCCAGCAGCCGCGGUAAUACGGAGGGUGCAAGCGUUAUCCGGAUUCACUGGGUUUAAAGGGUGCGUAGGUGGGCUGGUAAGUCAGUGGUGAAAUCUCCAGGCUUAACUUGGAAACUGCCAUUGAUACUAUCAGUCUUGAAUACCGUGGAGGUCAGCGGAAUAUGUCAUGUAGCGGUGAAAUGCUUAGAUAUGACAUAGAACACCAAUUGCGAAGGCAGCUGGCUACACGAAUAUUGACACUGAUGCACGAAAGCGUGGGGAUCAAACAGGAUUAGAUACCCUGGUAGUCCACGCCCUAAACGAUGGAUACUCGACAUACGCGAUAUACAGUGUGUGUCUGAGCGAAAGCAUUAAGUAUCCCACCUGGGAAGUACGAUCGCAAGAUUGAAACUCAAAGGAAUUGACGG